AUUGAACGCUGGCGGCAGGCCUAACACAUGCAAGUCGAACGAGUGGCGGACGGGUGAGUGAUGUCUGGGAAACUGCCCGAUGGGGGGGGAUAACUCCUCGAAACGGUGGCUAAUACCGCGUACCCUCUGGUAUGCCCAGAUGGGGUUUGCUGGUAGGUGAGGUAACGGCUCACCUCGGCGACGAUCCCUAGCUGGUCUGAGAGGAUGACCAGCCACACUGGAACUGAGACACGGUCCAGACUCCUACGGGAGGCAGCAGUGGGGAAUAUUGCACAAUGGGCGCAAGCCUGAUGCAGCCAUGCCGCGUGUAUGAAGAAGGCCUUCGGGUUGUAAAGCACUUUCAGCGGGGAGGCGUUACCCGCAGAAGAAGCACCGGCUAACUCCGUGCCAGCAGCCGCGGUAAUAC
rnacentral:rRNA from 1 species